UGCGUAGGCGGAUUAAUAAGUCAGUGGUGAAAACCUGCAGCUUAACUGCAGACCUGCCAUUGAUACUGUUAGUCUUGAGUACGGUCAAGGUAGGCGGAAUGUGUAAUGUAGCGGUGAAAUGCUUAGAUAUUACACAGAACACCGAUUGCGAAGGCAGCUUACUGGGCCAUUACUGACGCUGAGUCACGAAAGCGUGGGGAGCGAACAGGAUUAGAUACCCUGGUAGUCC
rnacentral:rRNA from 1 species